GACAGAGGUGACCGAGCGUUAGGCGGAAUCGACUAGGGCUUAAAGCGUUGUGUAGGCGGAUCGUUAAGUGUCUUGUGAAAUCCCACGGCUCACCCGUGGAACUGCUGGGCAUACUGGCGAUCUUGGGCCAACUAGGGGCAACUGGAACAAGCGGUGGAGCGGAUGAAAUGCGUAGAUAUCGCUUGGAACGCCAAAGGUGAAAACAGGGUUGCUGGGGUUGUGCCGACGCUGAGACACGAAGACCAGGGGAGCAAACGGG
rnacentral:rRNA from 1 species